CUCGAGACAUCGUCUCGAAGGUUCUUUAUUUUCCGUUCUUUUCCGCUUGGAUGCCAAGGAGGAAGGACGUAGUGAACUUCCUCGGCGCGUGGAGCCAAUAAGUCAGCCUUGUUGAAAUAAAAUAAUUUACUCAACGCUGAAAUAAGGCCGUUUGAACAACUUAUAAGAAGGAAAUUACAUUUCCUCGUGUAUGUGAACCGGAAGAUUGGAGCCUGCAUCCACCCAAGUUCACAUUAAAAGAAAAAUUUCGUCGUGGCUGGGUUUUUUGUUUCCUCCUUUCAUUCCAUUCAAUGGACGUGGAUGAAGAAUUCGAAACUUGAUAAAGACUCUGGAUAAAGACUUUUCCAACAGAUGAAGAUGGCGAGCUAAUGCCCGGAAACCAACUGAUUUGAAUUUAGACGGACUGUCUGGUUUGAAUUUUUGUUUAUUUUAUUGUAUAUAUUUGUGUAUAUAUUGCCGGCUUAAAUUGUAAAUAGUUUUUGUAUUAAUAUAAUUAUUUUGUUACUCAUCUCGACUCCAGUUAUUUCAGUUACUAAACAUUAUUUUCCUUAUUGUAAUCUCCGAGAACCUAGUUCUCAGCCCAAAUACAAUUGCAUUCAUAACAGAACCCCGUCAUCUCGAACCGGGGGUUACAUGUGCGAAUAUUCUAUGUAUGGAAGCUGGUCGCUCCAGGCGUUAGGAUAGGCCUGUGUGGUACAACGGAGUGCCGCUUCGAGUGGCUGGUCAGUGCGCUCGCAUUAACCGUUGGUUUGUGGGUGGUACCCCGAAGACAGACUCACCCCGAUACCCAGUGUCGUGCAAAAAGCCCUCCAGACCUGAGAGGUGAAUUGCGGGCCUCGGUCGGAGACUAUGUCCGCUGGGAUGCUGUGUAAGCGGAAUACAUGAUGAGUGAGCAAAUCUGAAGUUUCCUUGGCUAAGGGAAGCUUGCGAAGGGGGAUGAAAUGGGCUGCUUUGCAGAAUCUAUCAACCACGGUGAGAAUGACUGUAUUACCUCUGGAAGGAGGGCAACCGGUGAUGAAAUCUAGAGCAAUGUGUGACCAAGGACAGCUCGGAAUUGGUAAGCGGCGGAGGAAUCCAGAGCUAGGCGUGAUGGAAGUCUUGCUACGGGCGCAAACGGUACAGGCGAGGGCAAAUGACCUUGUGUCUUCUGACAUGGAUGGCCACCAAAACCGCUGGCGCAGCACGGCAAGUGUCCUUCUGAUGCUGGGGUGGCAGAAGAGGCGAGGUUGUCUGCGGGAUCCAUUUUGGCCCGAUCAAACUGUUAAGGGUGCGUGAGCAGGAAGGGAUCCUAGAGCAGACCAACGGUUAAGGAGAGUAAUAUUUUAUUGGUGAGCACAGGAAUCUGGCCGGUGUAGAUCGCUAUACUCGGGGUAGCUGAGCCGACGUGAGAUGAAGAAUCUCGGAAUGAGGCAGACAUGGGAUCAGACAUGGGGUACACAUAAAACAGGUCCUGGAGCGAAAGCAAAAACAAGUCAUGAGCUGAAGGAUGUGACAAACGAGUGCGAGAAACCACUGACAGUGGGACCAGACAAGUUGAUCAGGCGACAAGUGGCGGCGUCCACUGGUUUUUAAGGAUGGUUGAUUGGCAUAGCCAGCACCCGUCUGUCGUCCAACCUACAAUCAAUAAAAACACGCGCACCUGCCGGAGGUGGCCAGGUCUCAGGAGGGAGAGACAGAGGCUCUAACAGAUUGAUUUGAUUGAUUCUGUCCUUAACCCAGACCAUGCUCGUAGACUAACCAUAUAAUUCAUCUGUAAUUCCUCAGAUUGUCACAGCCCUCUACAUACUCGUUCUUUAAAGCAGAAGUGGGAGGAUGAGAUCAGGACUGUAAUAUUGGACAAUCGUUGGAAGCAGAUUUGUAAGCUGGUCCAUUCUUCCUCUAUCUGUGCCAGACAGGAUCUACUGCAGUGCAAAGUAAUUUUUAGAGUACAUUACACCAAUGCUCGUCUUGCAAAAAUUUACCCAACUAACAUUGACAGCUGUAAUAGAUGUAAACAAUCACCUCCCGAUCAUAUGAUCAUAUUUUGGUCAUGUCCUAAUCUCGCUUGUUUUUGGCAGAUCUUUGAUACUCUGGAAAACGUGUCCGGCACAAACUUGGGGAAUGACCCAUGCAUAGCACUUUUUGGUUGCACUCCUCUAUUACUUGUUUUAUCUGCACCAAUACGCCAUGUAAUCACUUUCACGACCCUACUAGCAAGAUUUCUUACUUUAUGUAAAUGGAAAUAUGCACUUACCUCAUCAUAUACCGUAUUUUUUGGGCUAUAAGUCAGUUUUUUUCAUAAUUUGGCUGGGGGUGCGACUUAUACUCAAGAGCGACUUAUGUGUAAAAUUAUCAACACAUUAUUAUAUCAUUUCACAUGUUAUUUUGGUGUUUUGGAGUGACACUGAUGUUUUGGUAAACUUGUUAGCAUGUUUUUGUCUUAUAGCUAUCUGAAUAGCUCUCAAUAGCUAUGUUACAUUAACAUACCUGCCCCGUUCGCAUUUUGUUGCGUUAACAUUAUCAUAUUGUACACUUAUUCAGCAUGUUGUUCUCUAUUGUAUUUUUAAUUUAAAUUGCCUUUCAAUAUGACUUAUCUGUUCUAUCUGUUGGAUUUUAUCAAGUAAAUUUACCCCAAAAAUGCGACUUAUAACCCGACUUAUAAUUAUAUGUUUUUUUUUCCCUCUUCAUUGUGCAUUUUUGGGCUGGUGCGACUUAUACUCAGGUGGGACUUAUAGUCCGAAAAAUAGUUAGCUAGUAAUAGUUGGCUCUAAGAGGUUCUGACUCAUUUUAGGCUAGUGAGGAUGAGAUUCUCACUCUCUGGUAGGGGAAGUACUUUCCACAAAACCUGGCAGCCGUUUAAAAAUUACCUAGAUGGACUAGAUGGACAAUCACCCAAGAGAGCGACUAGAAGCCCCCCCCCCCCCCUCCCCUUUUAUUUUGUUAAAUUUACUUAGUUUAGUUAGUGUUGUGUUUUGUUUAGUUAAUAAAGUAUGUGUGAUAGAAUAGAAGGAGGACUUGCUCAUAACACAGCCAAUCAUAUCUCUGUUUUCCCUUGGAAUUAUGGCAAAAACUGAGUGUUUAUCCUUUUCUUCUUGCGAUAAAGGGGCUAUGAAAAAGAUUAUUUGAACUGUUACUUUGGGUUUUGCUGAGAUCUAUUGAUUCAGGUACAUGUAUCAAAAAGCUCAAAUAAAAAGAUGUGCAUAAAUUAGUUAAAAUCAGCGUGAGUUUAUAUGCUUGCAGGGGGUGUAUUUUCUAUAUUCAGCGUGAAUUAGUAUGGCUUCAGUCAAACAAAGUAGAUCUGAAACAAAAACAAAAAUAAGAUUUGUCACUAGUUCUAAUUGAAAAUGAUUUUAUGUUUCAAAGUCAAAAUUUGAGGCAGCUUUAACGAAUAAUUAAACAUUUUUUUUUAUAUAUAUAAUUCCUAGUAAAGUGAUUAACAUUUGGAACAGGGGGACAGACAGACACAACUCUGUGUAGUUUAGGCUGGGUGGCUGGACAGCAGAGACACUGGAAGAACGUGGUGUAGCAGACAUCCUACUGUGUGUGUUCUGGGAGCGCUCAGUGGGAGAAGGCUCAGUACUGACCCCUCCCAGACAAAACAUGACCCCCAGCUGCAACUUCCUGGAUCAAGUCAGACGUACAUGGCUGAAGGAGCACUUGGUGAAGACAGAAAAAUAAAGAUCCCUUCAUUGUCACAGUGACUAAGGUCAAACAUAUUAUGAAAAAUUUUUUUUUUUAAAAUGUACUCUUAAUUUCUUAAAAAAAAAAAAAAAAAACCUACAAAUGUGCCAACCAUUUGUUCUUAGCAGCAAGAGCUUGCACACUCAAAGUAACAAUAUUAGUCAAAAAAUUCAUAAGUACUGUAACAUCAGAAAAAUAAAUGGAAGCAACUUUCAUUCAAUACCCUCCCAAACUACCCAAUGUUCCUUUGGUCGUCCUCACUCAGCACCCUAGAAUACAUCACCUCCCACCCCUACUAAGCUCCCACGACAUCAAACCAAGUCUGGCUGAAUACAGCUCACAUGUUUGUGCCAAGUAACUCUGUGUGUGUUCUUAGCAGCUGCUAAAAUACAGCGGAAUAGAUCCACAAACAAAAGUAAACAUUGUUAAUUCUUUGGGGAAGGUGCAGUCAGUGGCAGAAUUCCAAUAAAAUCAGGAUUGAAUCAUGUUCUACGUCAGACUCAGACUCAUUCUUAGUACUUUGACCUGGCAUCCCUUUGUAUUAUCUCCUAGGAUACAUCGCAUUUCCUUUCCAUCUUCCUUGUUCCUUGCAAAAGAGAUCCCAUUGAGGAAUCAAAGAGAUCGACCAUAAAUCAAAGAGGGAUACAUGUCUGAAGAAAGGGUUAGCUAAAAACAAAGUUGAUUCUGUUGAAUAAAAACCAACACGUGGACACACAGGAUCUUUCAUAAUCUAAGUAUAAAAGUAUUAAAUAGUUCGGUGUCCCUAUUUUUUGCUGACAUAGAUAGAUGGCCGUGGAUUCAUUAUUCAUCGCGAAUAAUUUAUUAAGUUUCUCACACAAAAUUUAUUGUGACUCACUGCCCUGAUUGAAGAAAAACAAGAACUAUUGUUUUCCAAAAGGCUGAAGGCUAUGACAAUGAGUGAGCAUGCCCUCUAAUGGCUUACUCUUAAACCUAGGAAACAAUGUGCAAUUAAUUAAUUAGCCUUGCUACAACAACAGCAAAAAAAAAAAAAAUCCAGCUCCAAGGAUCGAUGCCAUAGGCGGAGAUUGACUUAGGUGACGGGGGAAAAACAUGUUGAUGACCCCGAAACGCAGUGUCAGCAAUAAAUAAAUUUAAGAGAUUUAUGCUCGGAUAGUAGCUUAGAGUGAGAGUGGGUAUGCUUGUGUGUGUAAGCGCACUCGUUUUUCUGUCUUAACUAGUGGAGAAGUAGACGCCGUAGAGCAGGGCGGUAAACCGAAAAUUUACCGUCACCGAAAUUCUUAACGAUGACCGACGUAAUUUUGACCAUGUCGGUAAAUUCGGUAAAUUAAUAAAACAAGAAAAUAUAGUCUUUUCAUCCGUCUUUGAUUCUGUGUUGUUCGUCUAUGUUCAUUCCCCUUUAAGAAAGCAGUGAAUGUGCUUACGUAGGGAGUCAUGUGAUCAUCAGGAAGCCAAUCAAACAAAAGCCCGGUAAGCUAACGCUAGCAGCUAACGCUACAAGCAAAACGUGAUGGAGUGUGGCUGAAGGGAGGUUCACCAAACUUUCAACCGACAUUUAGUAGACUCUUGGUGGCAUCCAGGCGGGCUUUCACCCGCUGUCCUCCUUUGUUCUCACGAUUUCCGGAGAUGGUGCUUUCAGUGCUUUCUACUGGUAGCCAGGCUAACGCUAGCUAGCGGCUAACGCUACAAAUGAACGUUAUGGAGUCGGAUAGCGGCUCUAACCUUGUCGAAACGGCUGAACUUAAUGAGUGGAUUGGGCACGGACUGCAUCUAGCAAUUACUAUGUGGCGUUAUUUUGUAUCUGUCUGUGUGUGAUUCCUCUGAUAGCUUUUGUGAUGGUAAAGCAUUCAGCAUAAAGUACAAUCCAACGGCGAAACUUAUAAUGACCGAGAAAUGGCCCCAGCUAUUUUU